CAAUGAAAUCGACGCAAUCUACAGUAAACUGCCAAGUGAUUAAUACUACACGUGAUCCAAUAGAUUGCACAAGACCAUCAACACAGCUAUCCUAUCUUUCAAAACCAAAGGAAGUGCUACAUUACCUGAUUAGCAAUGCUGAUCGACCCAACCGUUGCAGACGGCAAAUUGUGUUUGACAUUAGAAAACGUCCAUCUGAUAGCCAG